ACAAGAAAUUUGACUUUUAACGACCAACUCUUAACGAAGGGAUAUGAAUCUGGUCGUUAAUGGUGUAUUUACAGCGACACAAUUUUCUUCCGAUCAUUAAAAGCCAAUUUUUAGUUUAAUACUAGCGAGAGGACAAUAUCCAGACAUUAAAAAGCUUAACACCCGGUUGUUACUAAUCAAGAAAAGGCGCGAUAUGUUUCCCUCUUUAUUUUCACACCCACGUCUCCACCCACCCCCUCCAAAAUAAAAUAGGGAGAUACACUCACCACUUCUCUAGAGUUCCCAGAUCUAGAUACACUUAGCAGUAACUGCCUCUACAAGUAAACUCAAAUUCCUUCCAACUUUCAGAGAACACCGAGAGAGACGAAACGAUCUCUCAGUUUAAUCUACUAAUCUCUCUUCAAUCCUUUAACCAUGGUGCUUGAGGUCAGCAUAUUGCUCUUGGAAUUUCAAUUUCAGUUCUAUGAUUACAAUGAUCUGGCAUCGAUAAUUCGGAGUGGGGAAUGGGUGCAAAACGGUGAUUACUCGUUCAAUAGGUUCCAAGCUCUAGCAGAUGCUGUUAAUCUUAUUUGUGGUGCCAAAACCUAGGUGUCCUCUGCUUGACAGUUCAACUGCAUUUGAUUUACAAGAAGCUAGAGAAAAUACUAUCAAUUCUUGACAACAUCUGGAUAAUUGAUUCUGGGACACACACACUAUUGCUUAGUGUUGCAGUAACCAAUAAACAGGUGGUAAGGUUUGAAGUGUCUUUGAUGUACUCUAUCAUGAUAAAAGGUAAGAUCGUCUAACUUUGAAGUUAAUGUUGGCUUUAGUACUCAUGAAUUCUUGACUGAACUAACCAACAAUGUAAGUUAUACUUUUAUGGUAAAACAUCACACUCAGCUCUUCAUAUAUCUUUCUUGUUAACUGUGAAUGUACGACUUUAUCAUGUCUUUUCUUUUAAUAUGGAUUUUUUUCCUAUAUUUAGUGCAGCUUUGGGAGUCAAAGGGAAGGAAUAGAACAUAAAAUGAUAAUAUAAUACAUAGUUGUAAAACGAGAAGCAUAAUAGAAAUUACAAGCAAGUAACAGUUUAUGAAGCUAUCGUUAUUCUUUUGGUCUUUUUUUUUUUAAUAUUUUUUUAUUGACUAUUAUUAGAGUUAUUAUAGAGAUUUUUUAGCGUAAACUCUCUGGACCAAGAAAAUAUAAGGUUUCGAUAGGAUUUUAUAAUCAGUAAUAAAGAAAAAUAGAGUGGAUAGUGUAAACUCUCUGCACCGACAAAAUUGAAAAUCUCGAUAGGAUUUUUUAAUCAGUGACAAAGAAAAAAUGUUUGGAGAUCCAAAUUCAUUAUGCUAUUUGAAGAAUGAAUAAGCAGUUUCUAACUUUGGCCUUGCUCUGCAUAUUCAUAAAAAUAAUGGUUCCGUAGUGAUUAUACUAUGAUUUGUUUGAGGUGAUUUCUGACUUCAAAAUGGUUGUGGUUUAAAAGAUGGGUACAGCUGAAGCUUUGCAUCAGCUAAACUUUUUUAUCUGCUAAAUACAUGUGCAUCAGCGAAGCUUUUUUAUCUGUAAUCAAUUUCAAUAGGUAUUGGCUUGAUGUAUAUUUUUGGCACCAUUUGUAAUCUUUCAGCUGCCUCUGCUCUUUUUUCCCAAAAAUGUACUCAAAUUCUUUUCUUUUUUGUCUCUCUGAACUCUAUAGGUUCAUUGAUAGGGAAGUCAUCACUUGAUGCGCAUUCACUAUUAAAAUGGACAGAUACACAAACAUGUGCCAAGUGGUGAAACUUUGAGCAUGAUUUCAACUUUGGAAUAAGGAUAGCAGGGUGCAGGCGUGUUUUAAAGAGUAAUAGGAUUUAGAGAAUUCGGAAGAUGAUUAUGAAGCAUAGAUAAUAGAUGAUCACCAAGGACUCAGGGUGUUUCUCUGUGCAUUCAUCUUCUUCAAUUUUUUCUUCGGGUUUCGUUAUCGCGCUCUCUGUCUUUUUCCUUUCUUAUGCUUUUUUUCUUUUGCAUUUACUACUAAAUUCAAGAACACAACAGCUAAUAAUUUUGUGUUUGUUGAUUAUGAUUUUUGGAUAUUUUUCUUACUAUUUGCAGUAGCCCAAUUGUAUGUAUAUGGAUUGUUCGCUGCCUCUCCAUGGCCUUACUUUACAUUCCGAGAAAGUCACCAUAGGUCCAUCAAAAAUCUAUGUUUGCAACUGAAGAAACUCCAAUCAUGCAUGGUAUGUAGACAAGUGUUUCCUCAAAUCAUCUCACCUAAUUCUGUCUGUUAAGUAUAUAAGUUCAAUCUACUCUCAAUGGGGAUAGAGGGGAUCAGUUUGAACAAUUUAUUUUAACUGGUAGCAUUUUCUUUUUUUGAUAAAGAUUGGCUGGUAACAUAUUUACAUUGUAUGAUAUCUAGGAGGUUGUACAUAAUGAAAACAUAACAUUUUUAGUGUCAUACAACUGCAUGUGAAGCAGUACAAUGGAAAUACUACUGUGGACUGUGGUCCGUAUAGUGCAAAUAAAUGCACUGCUAUAGUGUAUGAUCAUUACUUCAAACCCAUAAAUUCUGCUUUCAUGCUGCUUUAGGUCAUGGAUGGGUUAAUUUAAAUGCCAUUUGAGAAGGUAAAAGUUUGAUCCCUCUCCAAAGAUUAAUUUUUCUUCUUCCAAUCUUUCACUUAAUGUUUUGCAUCCUUUUUGGUAAAUGUGUUGGGGUCUUGUGUUUCUUCUUUAAGAGUUUAUUCUUUGCUAUUACGUAUGCUAUACUUGAUUCUUUUACAGCUCAAGAAUUUGGAGCAUGAAGAAUCUAUCGUUCAAGAAAGUAAGGAGCAAGUUCAAGUACAAGAUGACUUUUAUUUUAUAAGGAGUGGUUUAAAGACGAUAUCUUAUGUAUAUAUGCUACAAUUUUAUCUUUUUAGGAGUUGAUAAAGAUGAUAUUACACAACUUGGAUGGUAUACCUUUAUUUAGUUCUUUGUAUUAAAAAUGAAAUUUUAUAUGGAUACUAACAUUUAGUAUAUUUUCAGAUGUGUUUGUGCAUGAAAUUAUUAUUGUUAUUUAGUUGUAUGAGUUUGUGUACAAUAGUGAAUGAAAAUGUGGUAUUUGCAACUCUUUUACGAUUGCUUAUCAAAUAUUGAAAUAACCAAUGACGGGAAAUUUGGCCAUUAAAAGUAUUAGUAUUGAAUAUAACAUACAAUUAAUGAAAGGAACUCCGGUCAUUAAAAGUACUUGUAUUGAUGAAUUAGUUGUUGUCGUUUGAAGAUUUAACGGCCGGAUGACAUAUUAGCGAAGGGAAAAUCCGGUAGCUAAAAAGCAAGUAUGACGACCGGAAUUUAUGUCGCCGUUAACUGUUCUUUAACGACUGGAUUGAAAUUCAGUUGUUAACAUUUAAUGACGGGGCUUUUAACGACCGGUGACGACCGAAUUUUCCCCGGUUGUUAUUGACUUUUAGUGAUCGGAUAUAGACUUUCAAUGACUGAAUUUUCCCUCGCUAAAGACCUUUUUUCUUGUAGUGGUAAUUAUGACUCAUUGAUCAUUCUAAUUCCUAGACUUUAAGCGUUCUGAGGCGUUACGGAAGGGAAAAGCUGUACCGGAGUGAUUUCCAUUGUUCCAGCUCUACGUUUGAGAUUGUGAUCCAGAGACUGCUACCCGUCCUCAUAUCUAGGUUGAGGCCGUUGCUGAUAGAUUUAGGGAAGCCAAAGAACCACAUCUUAAAGCCGCAUUUCAUCUACUGAGAUAUCUGAAAGGUGAUCCCGCUCUGGAAUUUUCAUGUCCAAAGAUUCAAACUGCACCAGCAGAGCCUAUGGUGACUCUAACUGGACAUCUUGUUCUGAUUCUAGAAGAUCUGUUAGUGGUUAUCUGGUUCUAUUAGGGAAUAGUCCAAAAAGCAAGAGACUGUUUCCUUAUCAUCAGCAAAGGCAAAGUGCGAUCCCUAAGGAAGGUGGCUAGUGAACUAGUGUGGCUCAACGGAUUGUUCCAAGAAUUAACUGUUUCGUUUUCCAUCCCCAUCUCAGUUUUGAAAUAUUAGUG